GAAAGACAACAGGUGAGACAACGCGUAUAACGGCAAUUCAGAGCAAUCAAUGCAUCCCUCAAGUUGUCACACAACGGCGAAUCAAAUUUGGAUCCUAAAUUUUUUCCUGCACAUCCCUCAAAUUUUCUCACCUGUCUCCCACAGCCGUGUCUCUUGAUAUUUUUACUCGCAUAUUAAAUCCAAGUUUACUGUCUUAGAGCUGCCAUUAUAUCUGCACGGUGUGUUGGUAAAUACUACAUACCGAAUUAUGCCAAGGAAACUGUUCAGAGAAACUGUUUAGGAGAGGAUGAUGAAAGGAGAAAGGGAAGAAGGAAGGUUGAAACGUAUAACGUCUCACUAAAAUCUGCCAUUAUAUCUGCACGAUACCACGAUGUGUUACUAAAUACUACAUACCAAUUAUGCCAAGGAAUCUGUUCUAAGAAACUGUUUCCUUGUGGAAAGGGA